GACGAACGCUGGCGGCGUGCUUAACACAUGCAAGUCGAACGGAAAGGCCUGCUUUCCCUUGUGGUUUGCGGGUACUCGAGUGGCGAACGGGUGAGUAACACGUGAGUGAUCUGCCCCCAACUUGGGUAUAAGCCUGGGAAACUGGGUCUAAUUCCCGAUAGGACUGCAGGGUGGUGCCUGUGGUGGAAAACGAUUUUCUAGUGGUUGGGGAUGAGCUCGCGGCCUAUCAGCUUGUUGGUGGGGUAAUGGCCUACCAAGGCGGCGACGGGUAGCCGGCCGGGGAGGGUGGACGGGGAAAUUGGAAAUGAGAUACGGCCCAGACGCCUGCGGGAGGCAGGAGUGGGGAAUAUUGCGCAAUGGGCGGAAGCAUGAUGCAGCGGCGCGGCGUGGGGGAUGACGGCCUGCGGGUUGUAAACUCCUUGCGACCGCGAGGAAGCCACCUGGUUGGAAGGGUGGUGACGGUAGUGGUAGAAGAAGCACCGGCUAACUACGU
rnacentral:rRNA from 1 species